rnacentral:misc_RNA from 1 species
UACCGGCAGCCCGAGUGAUGGCCGAUAUUACUGGGCGUAAAGCGCGCGUAGGCGGCCAAGUAAGCCGGUUGUGAAAGCCCCGGGCUCAACCUGGGAAUGGCAUCCGGAACUGUUUGGCUAGAGUGCAGUAGAGGAGAGGGGAAUUCCCGGUGUAGCGGUGAAAUGCGUAGAUAUCGGGAGGGACACCAGUGGCGAAGGCGCCUCUCUGGACUGAUACUGACGCUGACAGCGCGAAAGCGUGGGGAGCAAACAGG